rnacentral:rRNA from 1 species
GACAGAGGCCUCAAGCGUUAGGCGGAAUCACUGGGCUUAAAGCGUGUGUAGGCGGAUCGUUAAGUGCCUUGUGAAAUCCCGCGGCUUAACUGUGGAACGGCUGGGCAUACUGGCGGUCUUGAGCCAUCUAGGGGCGACUGGAACAAACGGUGGAGCGGUGAAAUGCGUAGAUAUCGUUUGGAACGCCAAUGGUGAAAACAGGUCGCUGGGGAUGAGCUGACGCUGAGACACGAAAGCCAGGGGAGCAAACGGG